CUACAACGUUGUGCAAGAUCGUCACAGUGAUGAAGGUGUGUCUAAAAUGAAGACUAUAAGUGUCUUUGGACCAUUGCUCGACUCACCUCCUGCUCAUCCUGAUACAGUGCUCCGUACCAUUACAUACCUGGACACAUCACUCAAGCGGCUUGGCAUGAGCUACAGUCAUAUAACAUUUGACAUGCAGCUGUACAAGAUUGCUUGCCAGAUCAAAUGGGGUGACCCACAGAGAUGGGCAUCAGUGGUGCUCAGCCCUGGAAUGAUGCACACCCUGAUGUCAUUCAUUGGCUCAUUUGGGGAGCUGAUGAAUUCAACAGGCCUUGAGGAGCUGGUAGGUGCAUCAUUUGGCGGCCUGGCAUCUAUCUUCAAUGGAAAGGCCUGGCCAAAGGCCAUGCGAGCCUUCUGUAUGGUUAUGUAUGCUCUUCUUCAUGAAUUCUUAAAGGAGGGAGAAAAGAGUCAUCAGCAGAUACUGGAAUUCCUGGAAAAGGCAAGACAGCACCCAACAGGCCGAUUAUGGGUGGAUUGCUUUAUCACUCCAACCUUAAUUGCACAUAGAUUCUGGCGAGCAGAGAGGGAGGGUGACUGGCUGCUGCAACAACACUGCCUUGAAGAGAUGCUACCCUAUUUUUCUGCUGCUGGUCAUCACCACUAUGCUAGAUGGAUCACUUGGCAUUUAUGUGAAAUGCAGCACCUUCCUUCCAUUGCAAAAGAUGACCUUCUUGCCGGAAGUCAUGUGUGCCGCCAUUCAGAUGGUGCACCUGCAGUGAGUGCCGAUAUGUUUGGGGAGCAGACAUACAUCAGGCAAGGGAAGGGAGCAGGGGGCAUGAAGGGUAUUUCAACCAACCCUGAGCAGGUUGCAGUUUGGAUCCAAUCAUUUGGCAUAUGUUCACAUCUCUCUCAGUCAUUGGAUGAUAUGUACAGUGAUACAGUAGCAUCAGAGAAGACUGUGUCCAACAGACACAAAGAGGAGGGUGAAGCACGACGGGAGUUGGAUGCUGAGGACCGCUCUAAAAUUGUGAGGAUGCUGUGGGAAAACACAAAUCCACUCAUGACAGAGAGCACUUUGCUCUACCACAUCAUAAAUGGACAGGUGGCUGAUGAAAAAGUGAAUGUGCAAGAUGCGCUGAAGAUUGGCCAGGCUAUGUGUGAAAAGUUUUCUUCAUCACUUCCAGGGGCAUUUCAUACACCCAUCUCUAACAAGGUAGUGACUAUGAAGUUCCAGAAAAAGGGAAUAAAGGUCAGUGGGAAGGUUGUUUGUGACCUUGAGUCAUUAUUUGCUCGACUGUUGGUGGUGGGAGGCCAGAGAAAAAUGGAGCUCUCUUCUCUCUUCAAAUAUGAGCUUAGCCCAGUCCCCUUGUCUAUCAUUGAUGACAAUGGAUGCCUCCGAAAGGGCAAUAAGUCAGUGCUUGUCCAACGGCUCGGAAUUCCAGUCUGCAAUCCCCAGCCACAAGAUGUUGUCAUUGUGGAUGCAUCCCAGCUCAUUUAUCACGUAGUUUGGCCAUCAUCUGGGACAGUGGCAGAUCUUGCAGCCAGCAUGGGACGUCGGCUUAAUUGUUACGACACCCAAACUUUUGUCAUCUUUGACAGAUAUUUGCAGGUGUCUGCCAAGGACCAUGAGAGAUAUAGAAGAGAGAGGAGAGAGCUCCACAGAGUACAAGCUCUCAAUGACUACACCUCUACCUAGUCUAGACAAAGUCUUGAAAAACAAGCACAACAAACAAAGGCUGAGCGAACUCCUGUGUACUUUCAAUGUAGGAAGUAAGAUCAUGAUGGUCAGUAAAGCUGACAGCAUUGACACUCAUGAUGAGGCCGAUAUAUCACUUAUAUCUUACAUGUUAGAUGCUGUCAGACAUGGGGCUUCAACUGUUCACAUUCUCAGUGAUGACACAGAUGUCUUUGUGCUUAUGGUUUAUUGGUGUUGGAAGGCUGGUAUCACAACUAACCUACAGAUGGAAAAAUGGAAUGGCACUGUUCUCAGCAUAAAUGCAACUGCAGAGAAUCUGGGUGACCAAUGUGGUUCCAUUCUGGCCAUGCAUGCUCUUUCGGGAUGUGAUACCACCUCAUAUCCUGUCGGGAAGG
ensembl:lncRNA